rnacentral:rRNA from 1 species
UGGGGAAUUUUGGACAAUGGGCGAAAGCCUGAUCCAGCCAUGCCGCGUGCAGGAUGAAGGCCUUCGGGUUGUAAACUGCUUUUGUACGGAACGAAAAGACUCUGGUUAAUACCUGGGGUCCAUGACGGUACCGUAAGAAUAAGCACCGGCUAACUACGUGCCAGCAGCCGCGGUAAUACGUAGGGUGCAAGCGUUAAUCGUAAUUACUGGGCGUAAAGCGUGCGCAGGCGGUUAUAUAAGACAGNUGUGAAAUCCCCCGGGCUCAACCUGGGGAAACUGCAUUUGUGACUGUAUAGCUAGAGUACGGCAGAGGGGGAUGGAAUUCCGCGUGUAGCAGUGAAAUGCGUAGGAUAUGCGGAGGAACACCGAUGGCGAAGGCAAUCCCCUGGGCCUGUACUGACGCUCAUGACACAAAGGCGUGGGGAGNAAACAGGAUUAGAUACCCUGGUAGUCCACGCCCUAAAACGAUGUCAACUGGUUGUUGGGUCUUCA